ACCAUCUAGCCCUCUACAUAAUCCAAUCAUGCCAGGGGCGUAGUGCAGGCCUCACAUGGUCUUUCUCUUAUACAUAACAUAACAUACAUAUUCCAUGGUGCCGGGGGCGUAGUGCAGGCCACGUCCGGUCUUUCUCUUACAUAGUGCCAGGGGCGUAGUGCAGGCCACAUCUGGACUUCCAUAUCAUAUCAUCAUGUCAUAACAUAUGAGGGCUAAUGGAUCAUUCAACAUUCAUCCACAUCAACAACAUUUUAUGCAAUGCAACAUAUUCGUGAUUUCUAAUGCAAACAACCUAAAAUAUCACAUGGCAACCGUGAUGCAUGAACAUGCUCAAAACUGAUUUAUUUAUUUAAAAGCAUAAGGGUUAUUCCACUCACCUCAGGCUAGCUCUGACACUGACUGAAGCAGCUGACUCACUGCUGGGGUCCUCGGUUCCUCGGG
rnacentral:lncRNA from 1 species